rfam:Solanum lycopersicum cultivar Heinz 1706 chromosome 4, whole genome shotgun sequence.
AUACCUUUCUCGGUCUUUUAGCUAAAACCAAGUGCAUUAUCUAUUAUUAUCAGUUUAAUAUACGAUAUGUGGAUCAUUGAUCCACACGAUAUUAAAUUAUUUUUUAAGGGGUAGAAUUCAUUGAGGUAGCUUGCUUCCUGUUCUGUUGCGAGUCGCCCAUGUGUUGUACUUCUGCACGAGCCUGACGCACCCCAC